rnacentral:lncRNA from 1 species
UCUAGAGAAAUCAUCAAUGAAAGUGACAUAAUAUUUGUAUCCCAAAGUAGACGACAGGCGACUUGUAACACCUCGUUAUCCCAAACAAUUAAAUAAUAAAUAUGACAUCCGAGUUUAACACCAAAACGGUCAUGUCACACUACUUUUCAAAAUUUCUUAAAUAGAAUAUAAAAUUAUUUAAUUUAACAUUAAUAAACUGCAGCGGAAUGGUUUUCAUUAAAUAACAACAUCAACAUCAAUGUUUAAUACUCCACUAAAUAAUCCUGGUAUAGAAACCUCAUCAAAAUAAUUCAACAAUCAAAUAAAGGGCUACAUCAGCAUGUUCCAAAAAUUUGAUACCAUAAGGAAUGAAAAUAAAUAAGUAAUCUCAUCCCGUACGUAUCAGAGCCCUAGACACUUGAGCCACCAUCUACUACUCAGGAUUACCUGCAAGUUACCCAUAGGAAGGGCAACAUUUCCAAGCAGAAGGAGUGAGAUUCACAACAAUAAUAAUAGAUAUAGAAUUCCUCAAUUGAAUCUAAUACCCUAACAUAAUAAUAAUUAUUCAAUAUAAAUAUAUAUUUCAUAAUCAACAACAUCAACAAUAAUGGUAAUUACAACCAACAACAACGACUCAUGCAACUACUCGACAACACCGCUAAGACUCCUCGACAAUGCACAUGCAUGUGGGACCAAUUUACAGGGCAGAAGCCCUCACCGAAUUUUGAAUGGUUAAAGCAUUCAUCAGGGCAUAAACCCUCACCAAUUUGAACAAUAAAGUGUUCCAGGACAUGAGACCUCCCGCUUUGAACGACAAGGCGUUCCAGGGCAUGAGCCCUCCCGCUUUAUAUGUUAUGCAAUGGACUCCACUUGUGUAUAUCUACAUACAACUUAACAAUGCAUAUAUAUAUAUGACUUACAACUCCACAAUUCAACAACAUGUAUGAUUUAAUUAAUGUAAACAUACAUCACAGUCAUCAACAGAUCAUCAUAAUCAAUCCAACAAUUCAAGAAAAUACACAAUCAAUCAUAAUCAUGCUCAGACAUCAAGAUCAUUCAAUUAAAUAACAAUCAGCUUCAGAACUGGGCAACUCGCCUCGCGAGCUCAUCUGCUCGCUAUGGCGAACUCAGGAAAUGGGUUACUCGCCGUGGCGAGUACGAGGCGAACGAGAAAAAUGGUUCUCUCGGGAGUUUUGACAUUUUUCUCACUAAAUCUUCAUUUUUAAGUUCCCUAUUCAUCCUUUUAAUUUAAAAAUUGUCCCAAUCCUCUCUAAAAUCAUCUAGGCACUCAAAACUAACCAAUAUACACCUUAUAACAACAAUCUGAAAAUCAAGGUUCUCACUCACUAACUCGCCAUGGCGAGUGGUUCUGCUCGCGAGGCGGGCUAUGAAGAUUGCUCACUCGCGAGACGAGACAAGCUACUCGUCGAGGCGAGCGAUGAAUAUCAGUACGGGCAGAAUGCAGGUUUUUCCCAAAAAUCCCGAUUUCCUCAAUUUCACUCCCCAAAUCAGUUUACAGAUAUGAAACUAAAUGUUGUAUGCAACCAGAACCUAUUUCUAACAUCAAAACAGUAAUUCCUACACUCAAUUCACCCAAAAACCAAGAAUUCAACUUAAACCCCAAAAUUCCCAAUUUCUACCAUAAACCUGUUAAACCAAAAUCAGAAUUAAACAUCUAUACUACUGAAGCAAACCUCACCCUUACCUUAAUUCAGAUGAACAAAAGCACAAAAAUCUGGUUCACUUGGCUCUGCUUGGCUCUUCUCCCUUUUUCUCCCAAAAGCUCUGUUUGCACGUAAAAGCAGUUCUGACUAUUUCUUUUCCUAACUCCCAAUACAUAACUCCCCUUUAUUUCAUUUAACUCCCCCUUAAUUCUAUUAAUUUCUAAUUAAAUCCCCAACCUCCAAAAUAAUAAUAAUUCCCACUUAUUCUAAUUAAUAUUAAAAUAAACCAUAUAAUAAAAUAUAACACACCACAUAUCAACAGUAAUUAUUUAAAAUCAUAUAAAAGACUCUAAAUAAAUCAUAAAUAAAUAAAUAACGACUAGGGCGUUACACGACUAGGACCCCAAACAUCAGAAUGGAUGAUAUCAAAGGGAGACAUUGAUCUUUUAUUGACACGACUUGGAAAAGAUACUCUGACAUGUUUGCCAAGCUGACAUGAUUCACAAUCCAAUGACUUUAAAUGUGAAAGGUGAGGAAUUAAUACCUUUAACUUAUCCAAACUUGGAUGACCCAAACUACGAUGAAUGAUAUCUGGAGAUGCAGAAACACCACAAAUGGUGGAUGGAUGAGAAUGGAGAUAAUAGAGACCCUGUGAUUCAAAUCCUGUUCCAAUUGUCUUUCCCGUACUUCGGUCUUGUAUAAGAGUCGGAAGAAAAUGUUAUAGAACAAUUGAGAGAUUGAGCAAGUUUACUGAGAUCAAAUUAAAAGGACUUCUAGGUAUGAAUAACACCUAAUUCAAUGAUAGAGAUGGCAGAGGAGAAGCUUGACCAAUACCAGUAACUUGUGCCUUAGAACCAUUAGCAACAGUAAUGUUGUGAGGUAUCUUUGGAGGUGACAAAUUAGAGAUAAGAGAGGGAUCACCAACAACAUGAUCAGAAGCACCAGAAUCUAAAACCCAUGAUCCAGUAGAGUGAGAUAAGCACACUGUAGAAUUGAUGAAAUGAGCCAAUGUGGCUAAAGAGGAAACUGGUUGGAUCGCCAUUAAACAACACGAAACAAAAACCAGGACGGUUCCUUUUGGACACCAAACGACUGAAUUGAGAAAAAAAUGAUGCUAAUAAAAAUAUAGGGAUAGCCUUGACAGUGACUGAACCCAAAGACAAAACUAGGAUUUCAGAACCAUGCUCUGGAUACCAUCUUAAGACUGAAAAUAUGUUUUUUCAUAUCAAAUUAUGUGGGGAGAAUGUACAUUUAUAUGGGUAGGAGUCUCCUAGUUAAUCCCUAAUUAAUAAGGAAGAUUAAUCAAUACAAUCAAUACAAUAAAUAGUGAAGUUAAAACUAAAUAGUCACAACUUUUGAAUAUCUCAACAAUUAUAAAUAAUUGUUAUAGUUUAGUGUAUCAUCAAUCAUAUCAAACCUUAAUCAAGUUAUUCAUCUUUUUCUACACACUUUAUAUAAACACUAUAACUUCAAUAACUUUGUUUCAAACUAAUUAAGUGAAUGUAUUUUUGCCAUUCUUUGGUGACACAACCAUGUAGGUAUGUCUUUACAACUGACCCCAGAGGAGGAUUGAAACUCUGGAGGUUGCCUGACCCUUCACAAUCUAAUAGUCAGAACUCCAUGAGGGAUAUUGUGUCACAUGCAGCAGAAUUCAUAUCAAGUUAUGGAAUGCGGAUAAUGUGUUUGGAUGCAUGCUUGGAGGAAGAGGUAUUCAUCUUCUCCGUUUUUAUUUUUUUAUCUUGUUGGGGGUGAGUUAUGUUCGGUAUUGCUUUGAUGGAACCUGACUUUGUAAACAAUUAAAAUACCAUUUUAUCAAAAACUUCUUUUAUGUAAAGGUCGGCCCUGACAUUGUUCAACAACUAAUUGUGAGGAACAGCGUUAUUGCUCUAAACUGUUUUUAAUUUUGGCCUUUUAAUUUUAACUGACUUAUAAUUUAAAAAGAGAAUCUCAUUUGGAAUCUGGAUAUGUUUUUGCAGGUCCUAGCAUGUGGAGAUCUACGUGGAAAUAUGGUUUUGUUUCCUUUGCUAAAGAAUCUGGUGCUAGGCACAUCUGUUGCACAAGAGAUGAAAAUACCGCCAGUAAAUCAUUUUAAAGGUGUUCACGGGAUUUCAAGUGUCUCCAGCGUUGUUGUAACUAAGCUUGGUUAUAAUCAAAUUGAGAUACGCUCAGUAUGUUUAACUAUUCAUCCUUCAAUUUGAGAUAAGAUUGGAUACAAUCAAAUUCAAAUUCAGAUAUAAGCAUUUUGCAAAUAAUAACAUCAAGAGCACAGUUAAAUAUCAAUCCAUCAAUUAAAGUUAUGAAUAUGCUCCACUCUAACUCCAAUUGUUGACUUUUAUUCAUGUUCAGACUGGAGCAGAUGGUUGUAUAUGCUAUCUGGAAUAUGAUGGGGAAAUGCAGCAUUUGCAAUUUACGGGAAUGAAACAAGUGAAAGAGUUGUCUUCGAUUGAGCAUGUUUCUGUUGAUAACAACUCGGAAGAUACAUCAUCAAGAAGCUAUGCAGCAGGUUUUGCGUCUGUAGAUUUCAUCGUAUGGAAUUUAGUCAAUGAGAAUAAGGUACUUUGACUAUUUUUUUCUCUUUACUCUGCUUAGUUAAUAUUCAUCUGUUGCUGCGUACAUCACCAGAUAUUAUAGCUACGUAUCAUGUGCAUAUGGUAUUACCAGGUGGUGAAAAUUCCAUGUGGUGGCUGGCGGCGUCCUCAUUCCUAUUUUCUAGGUGAUGUACCAGAGAUGAAGAACUGUUUUGCUUUUGUUAAGGUUUGCUUUUUGUUUUGAACACUUAAUUGACAAAAAUUAAGCAAUAUAUAUUUCUGUAAGCUUUACCUAUCUUAAAUCAUAUGACACCUGCUCAUACUGAAAAAGUUACACUCUUCCAAAAAUUCUUUAGAGGGACGACUAUAAUUCACUAUAUUUGAGGUCAUUAUAUGCAUUUGGUUUUGUCUUGAAUAGGAAUUCCAUACAAUUGCUUUAAGGCCUCACUUUUUGAUUGGUUAAACCUAAUAAUGGGGAUAGACCGGAUAAAGUUAAAUAAAAGGAUUUGGCUCCUCUAUAGUGGGGUGUACUUUAGAGAGUAAAGUGCAAUUAUAAGUUGAUAACCGUCGAUUUAAAAACCGGUUGAGAUUGUAGUAAAAUACAUGCAGAGAUAACAAAUUAUGAAUUUUCAAUAAUUGGUUAUAAUUUCAGAUUUAUGACGUGUUUAGUUUCACAUUUAAAAUCAUAGGCGUGCGUUUAGAGCUGUUUUUUCCGUGAAUUUAAAGAAGCUAGAAAUCCUAGCUUUUGGUGGACGCACGUCUAAAUCUGUUUCUGCCAUGGAAACAGAUACUUAAUCCUUUGUAGUGCAUCCUUCACUUUAGAGCAACCAAAUCCUAAAUAAAAGUUAUUUAAACAUGAUUGCCUUCUUGAUAUGUGCAGUUUUCAGCUUUCAAAAUUUUCCAUCCAUACAUAUGCAUGGGGAUCUGAAACAAACAAUUUUCCGUAUACUUAUUGUUAAUCUCCCUUUAUUUUAUUGCUUCAGUAACAUGGGUGUUGUGAAAAGUUUGAAAAAGUGUUAAAAUUAUUGCUACACUUUUAGCGUUAAAUUUCAACUCUAAUUUUAGCAGUGGUUACUUUUUAAGCUUUGCCAAUACCGACCUUUUUAUUAGACACCAGUCCUAUUUUCUUGUGGGUUGUUGUUCUUUUGUUAUUACAAAUUUAUUCUUCGGAAUAUCCCUCUGACAAAUCAUUCCAACUUUUACAGGAUGAAAUAAUAUAUAUACAUAGACACUGGAUUAAUGAUAACGUUGGGAAGAUAUACCCUCUAAGUUUGCAUAUGCAAUUCCAUGGGAGAGAGAUACAUUCCUUGUGCUUUAUACACGAAGAUAUGCUUCUAGGAGAUUAUUGUAAACGUGCAUCAUUUUCUAAAUCAAGUUGGAUUGCAACUGGAUGUGAAGACGGGACUGUGAGAUUGACUUGGUAAAACCAUUAUUCUCUGCUGCGUGUAGAUUUCAUUUGAGUACCUCAUAAACUCCUAAUCUGCGUCUGUUUGUUUGAUUUAGGUACUCUCCAGGUAUUGAGAAUUGGUCCAUGUCAAAAUUGCUUGGUGAGCAUGUUGGAGGAUCAGCUGUAAGGUCAAUUUGUUGUGUUUCGAAACUACACAUCAUUCCAUCAGCUACAACCGAAGUACCUGAUGGGAGGAGCGAACAUAAUGCUGCUGAUGAGGACAAAGAUAAUCCAAUUUUACUGAUAUCAGUGGGUGCAAAGCGUGUCUUAACUUCUUGGCUACUUAAAAGCAGGAAACUGGAUGACAAAACUAACUUCCGAACUGAUAAUCAGCAUGAUGCAAAGGAACUUGAUGAUCAAUUUUUGUCCAGCAUGUCUUCUUCAAUGACGUUCCAGUGGCUUUCCACUGACAUGCCAACCAAAUAUUCAAGUACACACAGAUAUACAGAAAAUAAUGUGGGGAAAGCAGUUGAUGUUGCUGAAAGUGGUUCUAAAAUAAAAAUUGAUGCUGAGGCUGGAUCACUGAUUUCUGAAGGGGGGACAAUGAACUUGGUCAGAGAUAAACAUGAGGAUGACUGGAGAUAUCUUGCGGUCACUGCUUUUCUUGUUAAAUGUGCUGGUUCCAGGUUAGAGGAGAUGCCUAACAUUUGCGUCUUGGUUCCGUAUAACUCAAAUAAUUUGAAACUAAAGUUCUAUUUUGUAUAAUUUUCAGGAUAUCUGUCUGCUUUGUUGUCGUUGCUUGUUCAGAUGCUACAGUUAUGUUACGGGCUUUAAUUUUACCCUUUCGCUUAUGGUAUUAACAAUUAUUUCCAUCAAAUUCUAUGAACUUUUUCUCUGCUUUCUUUUAUUUCUUGUUACAUCUUACAUAGCUCUUUCCCUUUUACUUGAUGACAGGUUUGACGUUGCAUUACUUGUUCCUUUAUUGGCACCUGUUUUGUCAUUGCAGCAUAUCAUCUUUCCCUUACGUAUGCCUUAUAAAGGUUUGUCUUGCACUCCAUUUAAGUGAUUGGUUAUGAGAGCUGUGAACCACUUAAUCCCUUCUUUUGAUAUGGAUGUAGAAGUUCUGUUGUAAAUUGUAAUGCUACUAGAAUUUUUGAAGCUCGUCUCUUCAAAAUUUAAGGCGGUACUUACCUGUUACCGAAUAUCACAAUUAAUGGUGAAAAGACUCAAAUGUAUGAUGUACUCAUCAUGAAAGCCUAAAUUGAAAGAUGAAAUUGUCUCAAUAUUUUGGUUUACUUAUGAUCGUGGGCUUUUUUAAUAGUCCAAGGAUCGUAUUAUAAAAUAGUGUGAUAGGUAGCCUCUUUACUGCCUGUCUCCACCUUGUUCCUCAGUAUAUGAAACGAAAGAUAUUAUUUGUUAAGAUGAAUGUCCUGUUCCUUUGUCAUACCUUUUAAAAUAUAUGCUAGAAUAAAUUUAGAGGUUCUUUGUAUAUUUUCUGCCUGAUCUAUUUCCCUGCUUCAAUAUGUCUGAACUUUCUUUUGCAGAUAACGUCAAAGUUGGAAAUGUUUACAUUGUGAUUGGCGGAUCUACUGAUGGGAGUGUUACAUUUUGGGACCUGACUGACAGUGUGGAAGCUUUUAUGCAGAGCGUUUCAGUUUGUGAUGUAGAGAAGCUUUUUGAUUGUCAAAAACGACCACGCACAGGGAGAGGAAGUCAGGGUGGUAGACGGUGGAGGAGAUCUUUAAGCAGUGGGUUAUCAAAGGAAAGACAAGGCAACAAUCAGGUGACUUCAAAAGCCAAAAACAAGGCCAAAAGCAUCAAUUCUACUACACAUGGGACCUCUUCAGUGCCAAAUAAAUCUGAAGACAACAAUAUGGUUUGUUCUCAAACCAGACAUACAGCUUCCCCCGUGUUGGAAACUAAGGCUGAUGAUUCCUCAGCGGAAAUAUGUGAAAUACAACCUCUGCACCUUUUGAAAAAUGUUCACCAAUCUGGUGUCAACUGUCUCCAUGUUUCAGAGAUAAAAGCCGGGCAAACUAAUGAUAGUUCCUGCGUGUACAACAUAAUUAGUGGGGGAGAUGAUCAGUCAAUUCAUCAUCUCGUGGUUGAGUUAUCAACUAAAACAAUAAAUCUUGAUUAUGGGGUUUUAACCCCAGAUGUAGCACAUUUGGUCACUGAACCUGAAUACUUGAAGGACAUCAAUUUUCAAAAUCAGAGCAGAAACUACGAGAUCAGAUUCUUAAAUUCUGAAAAAUUUCCUUCGGCCCACAGCUCUUCUGUGAAAGGUAAUUCUGUGAAAUUAAACUUCCCUAUCUACCUACUUUUUGUGUGUCUAUAAUGAACAGUCGGCAAGGCAUGUCAGGCUUUCUUUGUCUGACACAAUGCUUUGUUGGCUUUCCCACUAAUUUUUUUUCAUUUACUUCAUCUAGCAUUUUGUCCCACUGAGAAUCUUAACCCUAUUAUUCCCGAUAGGAUUUUUCCUUGUUAUGAUAAAAUGAUAAAGUAUUCAUAAUACUUGUGAACCAUAUCCAUUUGAACCACUUUAUCAAAUUGAAGCUAGUGUAUGGAUGUCUGAACUUGCAUAUUUAUGAAAGAAAGUUUGGUCAGUUUUGUAUGACUAUCAACUUUUAUUUUAUAAAGGUGUCUGGACGGAUGGAUCUUGGGUGUUUUCGACUGGACUUGAUCAGCGGGUCAGAUGCUGGCAUCUUCACCAGAGUAAACUAAUAGAACGUGCACACCUAAUAGUUAGUGUGCCGGAGCCUGAAGCGUUAUCUGCUAGGGCAUGUAGCAGGUGAUUAUUAUAGAAGUGAAUGACUGGGUUGGGUGAUAUAUCAUAUUGUUCUUUCUCUUAACACUUGCUGGUCCCUUACGCAGGAACCAUUAUCAGAUUGCUGUUGCUGGAAGAGGGAUGCAAAUAGUGGACUUCUCAGGAUGCCAGCACGAUGAAUGAUGCGAGGAUAAUUGAUUGUUGUUAUCUUAUUUUAUUUUUAAAUCAGAAUAAUUUAUGGAGGUGCAAUUUGUUCAACCUCGUUCAGAUGUAUCCAUUUCUAAUCCUGCUGAUAUUUUCUAGUAUAUUGGCAAAAUGGUCUGUGGUUUAUCCAUGCCUCUGAAAAUUGUUGGGAAUCUGCAAUGUGCAAUUUUGAUUUAUAUUUAACUGUAACGUACUAUAAAUUAUUUUAAAUCCAAGGAGAAUGUGUCGCAUUGAUGUUUCUCACUGUUUCCUUUCGAGCAAAUUUAUUUCCUGUAUGGAAAGAAGAUAUCGUGCUUAUCACUCUUAUUUGAUAUAUGCCACUAUAUGCUUUUCUCACUGUGUUUCCUUGACAUUUGUUAGUUAAUGUAUCAUGUUUAUUAAUUUAAUAUGAUUGAAUAUUACUAGAGUAUUAAUUCACCAAUUUUGUCUUUGAAUGUAAAUAUACGUGUUUUAAUAUGUGACGGAUGUAUGUAUUAUUAUUAAUAGAUAGAUAUGAGCUGCAAAUAUUUUUUAAAAUUCCCAUUUCUCUUGCAAAAUGAUUAAAAAAUAAAUGGCGGCAAGCUGUGCUUGGCUGGCUGGUCAUGUGCUAACAACUUGUCUUCUACUACUAUUAAGCUAUACCAAAAAGAUAAGCACGUUUUUGCAUUUAUGCUGUUUAGAUCCAGAAUAGUAAGCAUAUCUCUUGUUUCAGAUUCAGCCUUAUGCAUUGAAAAGUUGCAACUGCCUCAUAAUCAGCUUAUACGAGUGAGGCAAGGAUCUUAAAUUAACUAAUUUACAGCUGUUUACGGUUCAUGAUUGAUGCCGCGGAUGCACAAUGAGGAUGGGACUAAAUCUCCACACAAGUUCACAUUCGUAGGUUAAUUGCUUUUAUGUUUUCAACAGAUUUAAUUUCAAGGGUGUACAUGUGGUGGUUACCGGUGAGGGCGGGACCCAAUAUAUUUUGAAGCGUAAAAGGAAAUUUGAGUUUUUUGAAGCGUAAAAUUGAGGUUAUGCUUUUCUAAAAUCUAAUACCGAAAUGAAGGUAUUAUAGUUUUGGCUCUCUAAAUAAAUAUUUAUGAAUUUAGUUCGGUUGAUAUAAACAUUUAUAUUUAUGGUUUUUCAGACAGAUUUAUCAAUGCUACAUAUAGGCAUUGUCUAAUAAGUUGUAUGACAAUGUUUUUUUUUAAAUAAAACUAAAAAACUUAUGUUAUGGUUUUUCAGAUAGAGAUUUAUCAAUGCUAAUAGUGAUAUGUGUAUAUAAUCUGACUAAGAAAAACCCGUGGAAACGUAAAAUAUAUAAUUACUGAUUGGUGAAUGAGAGAAAUGUAAGAACUAAGAAUUACGGUGCAUGAAAAAAUAGAAUUGUUAUAUUAUUUUUGUCAAUUUUACUGUGCAUGUCACAUUUAAAAAUGAGAACAAACAAAUACAACACAACCCAUUGCAAUGCACACAGUGCUCUUUCUCUUUACUUGAUUUGAUUUUAUUCUUUUCUUUUGGGUAAGGACCACAACUGCACAUGAUCUCAUUACGUUCAAUUACAGGAAAGAAUAUCAUAUCAUGUUACACUUAAAAUCAUAACGGCCUCUGAAAUGCUCGAAGAGCAAAUUAAAAUCAUAUCUCUAAACAAACUUUGUUUAAAUACAACUUUAUUUUGAAUUAUAUUAAAAUACAACUUAGUUUUAUAUUUUCAAUAUUUAGGGUCCUCUAAUAUGGACCAAGUAAAAAGGACCACUAGUGAAUCCUUGAAAUGACAUAUUAUAGCAAAUUAAUUUUUUUUGUUUAUUGUGAAAUUAACAUAAAUGCAAAUGGGAGGGGUUAAAAUUUACAAAGUAUAUUUUGUGGCUUUACUCAAACUACGUUUUCAAAUUGUACAACAGUGCCUUUUUUUUAUAAUUUCUUUUUCAAAAGCUUUUUGAAUUAAAAUAAUUAAAAAAGAAACUACCAUUUCAAUUGUUGUUACCAUUGCACUACAAUGGUUAAACUAUAUGAAUAUGAUUGAUGCAUAUAAUUUAUUUUAUCUCUUUUUAACUUUUUCUUUUACACAUUUUAUUUACCAAUGAACCCCAACCACGAUAAUUUUUGGUCCAAUUUUAUGUAAAAUUAUGACAAUUUUCUAUGUAUCACAAGUCAACAAAAUGUCUCAUCUUUUAAUUAAAAAUGCAUCCAAUAACCCAAUUCUCAAAUUUUCAAAUUAUAUUUCUAUCUCACACUUUGAAAAUUACUCAUAUCAAUACCAACAAUUUUCAACUCAAUCAAAUAAUCCUAAUAUGCCUUAUGGGGUUCAAUUGGAUAGUAGUGGUGUACAAUUAAAUGAUCAAGAGCUUGCAACAUCAUAAUUUUGCACUCAAAGUGACUUAGAAACUAGUAUUAUCCUGGUGAAGAAGUCAGAACUACAUCGGUUAUGAAUAUGUCGAAAAUAAAAUUUCAAUAAAAAAAAGAUAAACUUCUCAUUUAAUCAUGACUCAAUAUUUUAAAGGAUCAAUUGUAAGGAUUGAUAAAAAAAGAAGAUAGUUUUUGAAAGAGAAUUGAUUAAAAUUAUAACAACCACUCUCUCAAAAAAAAAAUUAUAACGACCAUCGCCUCAAGAAUAUAUAUAUAUAUAUAUUUCUUAUAACUUACUUGUGUCGUGUAGUUUUCUUAUAAUGAGGAUACACUAUUUUAGCCAGCAAACCUUCAGCAACUAUAGAGUAUAGACAUCGUAAAUGGUCUACACAUAUAGGAAUAUGCUUCAUAUAUUCAUAGCCACGACAUUCCUACUUCAUUGGUUCCUUGUUUGGCCAACAUUCUGGUUCCUAUUAUCUUCUAACCAAUGGUGAGUUUAUGCAUUAAUAGAAUAAGCUAAUAACAAAAGGUUUGCUUCAAUUUGUAUACAAAAAGUUCCACUUAAC